rnacentral:rRNA from 1 species
CAACUUUCAACAACGGAUCUCUUGGCUCUCGCAUCGAUGAAGAACGCAGCGAAAUGCGAUAAGUAAUGUGAAUUGCAGAAUUCAGUGAAUCAUCGAAUCUUUGAACGCACCUUGCGCUCCUUGGUAUUCCGAGGAGCAUGCCUGUUUGAGUGUCAUCA